GUAGGUGGCAAGCGUUGUCCGGAAUCAUUGGGCGUAAAGCGCGCGCAGGCGGUUCUUUAAGUCUGAUGUGAAAGCCCACGGCUCAACCGUGGAGGGUCAUUGGAAACUGGAGAACUUGAGUACAGAAGAGGAAAGCGGAAUUCCACGUGUAGCGGUGAAAUGCGUAGAGAUGUGGAGGAACACCAGUGGCGAAGGCGGCUUUCUGGUCUGUAACUGACGCUGAGGCGCGAAAGCGUGGGGGAGCAAACAGGAUUAGAUACCCUGGUAGUCCACGCCGUAAACGAUGAGUGCUAAGUGUUAGGGGGUUUCCGCCCCUUAGUGCUGCAGCUAACGCAUUAAGCACUCCGCCUGGGAGUACGGCCGCAAGGCUG
rnacentral:rRNA from 1 species